rnacentral:rRNA from 1 species
GACGAACGCUGGCGGUGGGCCUAACACAUGCAAGUCGAACGGCAACGCACUGCUUUCGUGCGCUGCCCGAGUGCCGAUCGGGUGCGUAACACGAGUGUAACCUAACCUACUUUUUGGGGUAGCUUAACGUAACUGGGGUUACUACAGUACAGCAGCCCAUGUAGCAUGGAGAGGAUUGGAACUUUUGUGCGGUUGCGGCUGGAUGAGCGGAUUACCGCCUAGCUGGUGGGGUAGUGGCUUACCAAGGCAUUGACGGGUAGCCGGCCGGGGAGGGUGACCGGCCACAUGAGGACUGAGGUACGGACCAGAGUCCUACGGGGGACAACGGUGGGGAAUAUUGCACAAUGAGCGCAAGCCUGAGGCAGCAACGCCGCGUGCGGGAAGACGGCCUGCGGGUUGUGAACCGCUGUCGCCUAUGACGAAGCGUGAGUGACGGUAAUGGGUGAAGAAGCACCGGCUAACUACGUG